ACAUUUUGUAAUGGUUAUUAAAACAUUAUAUAUAUAUAUUUUUUUUCUUCUUUCAGAUAUGUUAUUUUGAAACCAUCUGCAAAGGCUAUCUAUGCACUUUUACUUCAGCACCAUCUUGGAAUUGGCGAUGACGUAUUGUAAAUUAGAAUGAAAAGGGAAACAGUGUUUUGAAAGCCUCUCAGCUGUUACAAACGCCAUCUUGGCUGCUACCUUCAGACUGUUUAAAGAAACUAGCAAACUAGAAAAAGCUGAAAAAUUUGGUGAAGUUCUUGCCACCGUCAACGACCAGAAAGGCAGGAAGACUAAGUUUGCCUCUACUGACACAGUUUUGUUUUAGAAACAAUUGGUUGUAUUAAAGAAUACAAUAAAUUAUAGAAAUUAGUA
rnacentral:lncRNA from 1 species